rnacentral:rRNA from 1 species
AACGAACGCUGGCGGCAGGCUUAACACAUGCAAGUCGAGCGAACGUAGCAAUACGUUAGUGGCGCACGGGAGCGUAACACGUGGGAACCUACCUUUUGGUUCGGAAUAACGUCGGGAAACUGACGCUAAUACCGGAUAAUCCCUAUGGGGGAAAGAUUUAUUGCCAUUAGAUGGGCCCGCGCUAGAUUAGCUUGUUGGUGAGGUAAUGGCUCACCAAGGCUACGAUCUAUAGCUGGUCUGAGAGGAUGACCAGCCUCACUGGGACUGAGACACGGCCCAGACUCCUACGGGAGGCAGCAGUGGGGAAUAUUGGACAAUGGGGGAAACCCUGAUCCAGCCAUGCCGCGUGAAUGAUGAAGGCCUUCGGGUUGUAAAGUUCUUUUGGUAGGGACGAUGAUGACGGUACCUACAGAAUAAGCUCCGGCUAACUUCGUGCCAGCAGCCGCCGUAAUAC